GGGGGGGCUCCCGGGGCAGGACGCGGUUGGCCCGUGCAGUAUUUGGCGGGGGAAGGGCGGCGUUGCCGGGUCCUUUGCUUGUCCAGCUGCAGAGCGCGGGGCGGGGGAUGGAGCCCGGGGGCCCCCAGGCGGGGCUGAGAGGUGAUGGGAGGGGGAGUCUCUGGUGUCCGCCCCCCCCGUCCGUGCCAAGCGCUUGUGAGAAGCCGGUCUCAAAUCAUGGCGUUUGCACUGGUGCUUUGAAGAGGCCGUGGCUGAGCUGUCCCAGGAGCUGGGAAGACUGGCCCAGAACCUGCAGGCACUGGCCCAGUACCAGGCCACCCUCCUCAGCGUCAACAAGAGCCUGGUGAGGAGCUUCCUGCUGCCUCCCCUCCCUUUCCCCAGCUGAGGGUAGCCUGUGCAUACCCCACCUCCUCAGAUCAGCUUUGGGCCGCUAAAUACCACAUGCAGUUUAAUUUCCUAACAGGACCCUCAGGAGAGCAGGUUCUCCACAGGUGUGCUGGGCAGAGGCACAAGGCCAGCAGGCACCCAACAUGGCAGGGAUGGAAUUAUCUGUCCUGCUGCCCCCCUGACCCUCUCAUGGCUCUGCCACUACUUGUUGCGUGACCCUGGGUAAAUCACUCUGUUUCUCUGCCCCAGAGUUUGCCCAUUUGUUAACUAAAUCAUUGAUCCUGCCCUGGCAGCGAGGGGACUCUGGAAUUAUUGGUAGGAUUCUUCAGAGAUGCAAAUGUUACACAGCAAGUUACUCAGUUUCAGUUACCCCAAACUUGACUCUGUAAGCAAAGGGAGAUUCCACUGGGACUGGGCAAACAUCUCCCUCACAAAGAACCCAUCCACUGAGAGACAGAGAGCUGGUUUUCUUCCCCAUAAGCUGUCUCUUUCUCUGACUGGGUCAUUCCAGCACCCUGCAUUCCAUAGUGACUCCGACUAGGAGCCUAAACCCACAUUCUGCACAUCUUGAAAGUUAUAUCCCAAAUUAUCCUUCUGUGGGGUGGCUUUGGACUAGCUGCAGAUGAGGGAGAGUAAGAGACUGUGUGUUGGGACUUCACCUAACCCUAAUGAUGAAUGGAAAUAAAGACCACAGACCAAAGCA
rnacentral:lncRNA from 1 species